rnacentral:lncRNA from 1 species
UCAAAAGCAAAAAUAACCAAAUAAUUCAGUCCGAGGCAGUCUAGUGGAUCCAACCGCAUCACUCCACCACGCUUCCCUUAACCUUGUCCUCAAGGUCGGAAGUCAGGAAAACGAUCAAGUAUCUCAGUCUCAAACUUCCAUGUGGCCUGGUCUGCUGCUCUCCCCAGCCACUCUACUAGUAUCUAGGUUUCCAGUCGUCCUUCUACUCGUAUUCUGCGCUUCGCCAGUACUCGAACCGGCUCCACUACCUCGUCCUCCGGUGGCUCAUGUAUGAUUGGGCCGACAGAUGUCUUGGAUCCAAGCCGAGCCCGCAGAAACGACACGUGGAAUACCGGAUGAACUCUCGAUGUAGUCGGCUCCUUCCUCCCGUCGGCAUCCCCUCCCAUCAGAAGAGUUGAACAGCUGCACUACAGGGGGACUUCAUGAUGAUUGGCUCCUUCCUCCCGUCGGCUCCCUCUCAACAAAUCAUCAUCUCUUCCUUUGGGAAAUCAUUCCCAAAAUACCCAAACUCUUCUCUCCCUUUCCUCUUCUUCCCAUGGGAACUUGGCCUGUGAGAGAUCUGGAACCAAACCCCAGCUUCUUCUUCUCCCGGUGGGGAAAAGGAGGAAUUAAUCCCCAAGGAGAACUCUCCUCCUUUUAUAGACUCGGCAUCCCCUCUCUUUCUUCGUCUGUGCUGAUCCGAAUGGGAAGAUAAACUCAUGGAGGCUUGAUCUGAUCCGAAUGAUUGCAAUAUCCAAUCUGGACAUUGGGAAGAAGAUGCUGGAUGCUUGAUUUACGAAGAGGAUUGGGCGCAUGGGAAGAGGCAGAUGGUUGGAAGUUAAGAUUGGAUCCACAGAUAAGAAUGAACUCGGUUGGGAAAAAUCGGAAGGAGAUUGUUCAGGAGGAAACGGAUGCGAGAGAGAAUGAUGAUGCUAGAUUCGGCUGGAAGAGGAGCUGGGAUAGAACGUAGGAUGGUGUUCUCGGCUGAGAGGAAGCAAUCGGUUGGGAACAAGUUGGGUUGUUCACGGGAUGAGGAUGAAUAUGGAGACGUGCAAGUUGAAACAGGGGAUUAUUCCGUGGAGGGG